GCUACGGGAGGCAGCAGUGAGGAAUAUUGGUCAAUGGGCGCGAGCCUGAACCAGCAAAGUAGCGUGAAGGAUGACUGCCCUACGGGUUGUAAACUUCUUUUAUAAAGGAAUAAAGUGAGGCACGUGUGCCUUUUUGUAUGUACUUUAUGAAUAAGGAUCGGCUAACUCUGUGCCAGCAGCCGCGGUAAUACGGGGGAUCCGAGCGUUAUCCGGAUUUAUUGGGUUUAAAGGGAGCGUAGAUGGGUUGUUAAGUCAGUUGUGAAAUGUAGCGGCUCAACCAAAAAAUUGCAAUUGAUACUGGCAGUCUUGAGUACAGUUGAGGUAGGCGGAAUUCGUGGUGUAGCGGUGAAAUGCUUAGAUAUCACGAAGAACUCCGAUUGCGAAGGCAGCUUACUAAACUGCCACUGACAUUGAUGCUCGAAAGUGUGGGUAUCAAACAGGAUUAGAUACCCCGGUAGUC
rnacentral:rRNA from 1 species